GCACUUACCUGGAUGGGGUCAAUAAGUGAUCAAGAAGGCCCAUGGCUUAGGCUAGCGACCUCCGUUGCACUUUGGAGAGGUGCUUUAGCCUGAGGUCUGCUCGAGAGACAGAGCCUAUGUUGUAAGUUGUGGUAGAGGGGGCCUGUGUUCGCGCAGCCCCCAC